rnacentral:snRNA from 1 species
AUACUCACCUGGCAAGGGAGAUGCCGUGAUCACGAAAGUGGUCUUCCCGGGGCGAGGCUUAUCCACCACACUCUGGACGUGCUGACCCUUACAAUUUCCCCAAAAGUAGGAAACUCGGCUGCAUCAUCUGUGGUCAUGGGGGCUGUGUUCAUGCUUUCCCCUG